AGCGAACGCUGGCGGCAGGCCUAACACAUGCAAGUCGAACGCCCCUUCGGGGGAGUGGCGGACGGGUGAGUAACGCGUGGGAAUGUGCCCUUUGGUACGGAACAACUGAGGGAAACUUCAGCUAAUACCGUAUGUGCCCUUCGGGGGAAAGAUUUAUCGCCAUUGGAGCAGCCCGCGUUGGAUUAGGUAGUUGGUGGGGUAAAGGCCUACCAAGCCUACGAUCCAUAGCUGGUCUGAGAGGAUGAUCAGCCACACUGGGACUGAGACACGGCCCAGACUCCUACGGGAGGCAGCAGUGGGGAAUCUUGCGCAAUGGGCGAAAGCCUGACGCAGCCAUGCCGCGUGUAUGAUGAAGGUCUUAGGAUUGUAAAAUACUUUCACCGGGGAAGAUAAUGACGGUACCCGGAGAAGAAGCCCCGGCUAACUUCGUGC
rnacentral:rRNA from 1 species